AGCCGGAAAUGGGUAGCCGGACUGUGUAUUCGGCAGACCCUACUCCUUAUAGAGCCUGGGGGGGGGGGAUUGUGUGUGAAUCUGGUAAUUUCAGGGACUUCUUGAGUUAUUUUCUUAAGGUCCCUCGUUGUAGCGCUUUCUCAAUCUUCUCUCCAGGAUGGGAUGUUUCAGUUCAGGGAAAAUGACUACACAGCCCUGACUUGGCCCUUGGAUAAUUAAUUGAUCUAUUUCUUGGUGGGAUUUCCUGUUGGAACCCUGGGAAUACUUUGGGAUAACUGAAGCCUGGUGCUGUACGCAGGGCUUGGAUGCCUACUUUGGAGGUUGGGGGUUUGAGCCCGGAGAUGCCACAGCACAAACUCAAACCCUUGCUGAAGCACAGUGUGAUGUCCCCCAGGAGCUCUCUGUUGAAGGCUAAGAUACAGUCCCAGUUUAGAGGUUCGGCUUUUGGGGAGCCAUCGGAUCAAGGGGGCGCUGACUUCAUGAUGGUCCACUGAUACCACUGAUGGGUUCCUAUUGUGAUGGAGGGUUACAGGUUUGCAGCAGGACCGACUAGGUUUCAACCUGUUUUACCAUACCGGGAUGGUUUGCAGGGCUUGGGGAAAGCCUCUUAACCCCCUCAGAACUUCAACUUUUUGGAAUGUACCAUCGACCCAAUGUCCUGCACAGGGCUGAGAGAGAGGUAAAGGGGCAGUGCAGCUCCUGGCGCCCACAGGUAGGAAAAGGGACAGUGGCCAGCUCCUGGCGUCCGCGGGUAGGACGUCUCUCCCGUUUGUGCCCCUCUAGACGAGGCCCGACAGCCCCGGGGCGAUCAAGCCGCUGUGACCCCGACUGGAGCGCGGCCCCUUUAAGGUCGCUUUGGAUGACCCAAAGGCCAGAGCGACCCUCUAGCGGCAGUCUCGAUGGUAAGUCUUCACUUCCGGCCGGAAGUGCAUUUGCGGAGCUGCUUCCGCCGGGGGAGAUGAGCCCGCGUGCUUCGUAUUGAGGGGAAUUUACUCUGUGGAGCGCGGCCCGGAGGCUCCCAGGACUUUAGAAACUCUCCCGGGGCUCGAGCAACCGCUCUCGGGACGCCCACGGGCGGAGCCGCGGACGGGCGGCGGCCUGCAGGGGUGCACUGUGCCGGGCCGUCCCCGCCGGCCGUGCACGGGCUUGUUCGGUGUCCGCCGCACACGAGGCCAGCGGCGUAAACCGAAUUGUAUUACUCUUUUUUUCUUUUUCUCUCCCACUCAGAAAAUGAACUCUCCGGCCCCCAGCGACUGGACGAAAUCACGCAAUAACUCCUUUCUCCUCUGAGGAGUGACCUCAGCCGGGGCCACCAGGUCAUCUGACUGGAAGGUUGCUAUGUGUGCCCUGAAUGAGAACCUGGCCCUGCUGCGUGCACCUGGACCUCUUGGGUUUGACUCUGACAUGCUUUUUGGAUGUCUACCAGCUUAGACUGCUUUGUGUGGUGGCUGUAAAUAAAUGGAGUUUGACCACA